rnacentral:rRNA from 1 species
CCUACGGGCGGCUGCAGUGGGGAAUAUUGCACAAUGGGCGCAAGCCUGAUGCAGCCAUGCCGCGUGUGUGAAGAAGGCCUUCGGGUUGUAAAGCACUUUCAGCGGGGAGGAAGGCGUUAAGGUUAAUAACCUUGGCGAUUGACGUUACCCGCAGAAGAAGCACCGGCUAACUCCGUGCCAGCAGCCGCGGUAAUACGGAGGGUGCAAGCGUUAAUCGGAAUUACUGGGCGUAAAGCGCACGCAGGCGGUCUGUCAAGUCGGAUGUGAAAUCCCCGGGCUCAACCUGGGAGCUGCAUUCGAAACUGGCAGGCUAGAGUCUUGUAGAGGGGGGUAGAAUUCCAGGUGUAGCGGUGAAAUGCGUAGAGAUCUGGAGGAAUACCGGUGGCGAAGGCGGCCCCCUGGACAAAGACUGACGCUCAGGUGCGAAAGCGUGGGGAGCAAACAGGAUUAGAUACCCCAGUAGUC